UUCUAAGUGAAUCCCUUCUCUCGGAUCAGUUUUGUCUUCUGCCUCCCUCUUUUUCUCUACGACUCUUUCUCUCUUCUACCGUAGUGUGGCGAUGCUCAUGAUUUGGGAUGCAUCACGCUGGGAUCGCGUUUGCUGCUUCGGUGGGUUGUGGUGGCUCUCGUAGUGGAGAUGGAAGUGGUUCUAGGAAGGUGUAACUGACGCCGUGGGGUUUGAUAAGCGGGAGCGACAGAGACUCCAUUCUCGAAGGUUUGGAGGAAACAGAGAGGCGCAUUGAAAAAUGGAGAGUUCAAUUGGACAGCUGACAGAGAGAAACCAUCAUCUUCGUUUCUCAAGUUCCUCAAACCAUCAUCUUCAUGCCUCGACACUCUUGUGCACUUUAGCUGCUCAUAUCACGCCUCUUUGUUCUUUGCAGUUGACGCAUUAAAUAUCAUAAAGGCAAGUUUGAUCAAUAUUAAUAGAAAUUUGAGCAACUGGGAUGGUGGAGAUCCAUAUACAUCUAACUGGACAGGAGUCACACAAGCGGAUGCCCAAAAACUAAUAAGCAGGUUCCCAGGAUCCUUCAAGGAGGCCUCUGAGUCAAUGACGCAACAGGAUCACAAGAAUAAUCAUGCACAUGCUCCUCAAAAGGAAGAAGGAAGAGGCAGCAACAACAAAGACUCAAGUCUUACAGUAGCAGUUAUUCCUGUGCUUCCUCAUAUUUUUAAGCACUAUAUUUGAUGAACAGAUUGGGAUAUAUUGUAGAUGGUGUGGUUGGAUCGAAACUGAAAUAAAAUAUAUCACGCCACCAUUUGGAAAGAACAACUCAUCAAUGAAGUUGAUUGGUCUGGCAACUAGAGGCAGAAUAAGGAUGCCAUUCGGAUCAACUACAAUUUGCAUGAGAAGCUAGCAGGGGCCACAUCUGUAAAUGAUUCAGGGAACAAGAUUGACAUCCAUAUACUGGAAAAAGAUUGACAUCCAUAUACUGCAUCAGAAGAAGAGCUACAUUAGCAUCUAGGUCUGAUACAACUCUAGUUAUGUAAGGUGUCACAAUUUGUUUCUGUAGAAGUUCUCUCUUAUAGAGGGAUAUUUUCUUUCUGAAAUUGUAGGGGGCUAUGUAUGAUUUUAAGGAGUUGUAGGGGCAAUGUAUGAUAUUAAAGAACACAAUAAUAAAUCUAGUGAUGUUUUCU